rnacentral:rRNA from 1 species
GGAGGAAAAGAAACCAACAGGGAUUGCCUUAGUAACGGCGAGUGAAGCGGCAAAAGCUCAAAUUUGAAAUCUGGCACCUUCGGUGUCCGAGUUGUAAUUUGAAGAAGGUAACUUUGGAGUUGGCUCUUGUCUAUGUUCCUUGGAACAGGACGUCACAGAGGGUGAGAAUCCCGUGCGAUGAGAUGCCCAAUUCUAUGUAAAGUGCUUUCGAAGAGUCGAGUUGUUUGGGAAUGCAGCUCUGAGUGGGUGGUAAAUUCCAUCUAAAGCUAAAUAUUGGCGAGAGACCGAUAGCGAACAAGUACAGUGAUGGAAAGAUGAAAAGAACUUUGAAAAGAGAGUGAAAAAGUACGUGAAAUUGUUGAAAGGGAAGGGCUUGAGAUCAGACUUGGUAUUUUGCGGUCCUUUCCUUCUUGGUUGGGUUCCUCGCAGCUUACUGGGCCAGCAUCGGUUUGGAUGGUAGGAUAAUGACUAAGGAAUGUGGCUCUACUUCGGUGGAGUGUUAUAGCCUUGGUUGAUACUGCCUGUCUAGACCGAGGACUGCGUCUUUUGACUAGGAUGUUGGCAUAAUGAUCUUAAGCCACCCGUC